rnacentral:tRNA from 1 species
GGGGCUAUAGCUCAGCUGGGAGAGCGCUUGCAUGGCAUGCAAGAGGUCAGCGGUUCGAUCCGCUUAGAUCCACCA